ACAGCCGUUCAUACCACACGGAGAAUACCGGAUCUCGUUCGAACUCCGCAGUCAAGCCGUGUCGGGCGUGCUCAGUACUACCAUAGGGGACUGGGUGGGAAGCGUGCGUGACGGCUGUU
rnacentral:rRNA from 1 species